rnacentral:rRNA from 1 species
UACGAAGGGGGAUAGCGGUGUUCGGAAUUACUGGGCGUAAAGCGCACGUAGGCGGAUUGGUAAGUCAGUUGUGAAAUCCCCGGGCUCAACUUCGGAACUGCCUUUGAUACUGCAAGUCUUGAGUUUGGGAGAGGUGAGUGGAAGUCCUAGUGUAGAGGUGAAAUGCGUAGAUAUCCGGAAGAACACCAGUGGCGAAGGCGGCUCCCUGGACCGAUACUGACGCUGAGGUGCGAAAGCGUGGGGAGCAAACAGG